rnacentral:lncRNA from 1 species
CCACAAGCCUGCCCACCGCCACCAGGGGGUGGUGGCGGAGCAGGGGCUUGUGGCCCACUGGCCCACCCCCUGAGGUGGAACUUGGCGAAGAUAUUUUUGAUAUUUUCCAAAACUGCUCCCCAUAAAUUUUCAGGAUGUUUGGAGAACUUUGAUUUCUGCACAAAAAUAACACCAAGGCAAUUCUGCUGAAAACAGCGUCAGUCCAGGUUAGUUCCAUUCAAUUCAUGCAAAUUAGAGUCCAAAACAAGGGCAAAAGAGUUUGGAAAAGUAGAUACGAUGGAGACGUAUAAACUCCCCCAAGCUUAAAACCUUGCUUGUCCUCAAGCAACUCAGUUGACAAACUGAGAGAGAAACAAAAACUUUGACAAACUCUGUUUGAUCUUGUUGUUGGAACUAUGUCUAACUCAUAACCAGAAUUUCAGCAGGAUCACAAGUUAACCACAUAAGCAAAUGACACAAAGGUCCCACGGUAAACUAAUAUCAAUGGCACAAUCAGCUAACGAGCAAAUAAUAAUGAGUUUCAAAUACCAACACUUCAAUCAAAACAAGCAUGAAGCAAUAUGAAUAGGUGGUAUCUCGCUAGCUCUUUCUGAGACCGCAAAACAUAAAUGCAGAGCAGUUUCAAAGAUCAAGGGCUCACUAAACAUUGUAAUUCAUAGCAACGAAGAUCCAGUCAUAGCCAUACUCAAUAUCAAUCAAAAGCAAAGCAUAGAAAUGACAGAGGUGCUCUCUAAUUGGUGCUUAUAAAAGAGGAGGAUGACUCGACAGGAAAAUAAAUAGACAUGCCCUUCGCAGAGGGAAGCAUUGAUUUGUAGAGGUGCCAGAGCUCAAGCUUUGAAAAUAGAGAUAAUAAUUUUGGGUGGCAUGCUUUCAUUGUCAACGCAAUGACCAAGAGUUCUCAAUAUCUUCCAUGCUACUCAUGCUAUAGGCGGUUCCCAAACAGAAAAGUAAAGUUUUAACUCCCCCACCACCAAUCAAUCACACUCCACGGCUAGCCGAAUCCUCGGGUACCGUCCAUACUAACAUCAAUCCGGGGGGGGUCUUGUUUUACAGUUAUGUUUUCGAUUUAAGCGUGGAACUGGGCAUCCCAAAUAACGGCCCCUUUCUCGUGAAUGACUGUGAAUAAACACAUGUCGAGAAUAACACUCCUAGCAUGGAAGAUACCAAUAGCCCUCUGUCACCACAUGAGCGGUUCGGGCAAGCAAAACAGAUUAUUUCUUGAAGGUUUAGAGAAUGGCACAUGCAAAUUUACUUGGAACGGCAGGUAGAUACCGCAAACAGGUAGGUAUGGUGGACUCUCAUGGAAAAACUUUUGGUUUUAUGGAAGUGGAUGCACAAGCAGUAUUCCGCUUAGUACAAGUGAAGGCUAGCAAAAGACUGGGAAGCGACCAACUAGAGAGCGACAACAGUCAUCAAGAUGUAAUGAGUUUGACUAACAUUGAAUGCAAGUAUGAACAGGAUAUAAAUCACCAUGAACACGAACAUCGUAGACGCUAUGUUGAUUUUGUUUCAACUACAUGCAUGAACAUGCGCCAAGUCAAGCCGCUUGAAACAUUCAAAGGAUAAUACCAUCCUAUCAUACUACAUCAUAGUCAUCUCAAAAUCUAUGUUGGCAUUCAAGACAAUCCAUUAUAAGCUCUCAGCUAAAUAAGCAUGGCAUCAGAAACUAUGAUCUCUAAGUUGUCAUUGCAAACAUGGUUCUCUCACAACAAAGCUGAAUCUGGGUCGACAAGCUAGUCAUAUUGACAAAAACAAAAUAGAUAGAGUUCAUACCAGCUUUCCAGUCUCAGUCACUUCAUCAUAUAUCAUCAUUGUUGCCUUUCAUUUGCACAAUCGAACGAUGUGAACAAUAAUAAGCGCAUUGGAGUAAGCUGAAUCUGCAGGCAAACACAAAGGAGAAGACAAAAUAAUAUGGCUCUUUGAAAGUUAAACAGGUAAGCAUGCAAGAACCACUAAGGAUUGUAACCAAUAUCUUCUACCUUGACACAAAGAAAAAGAAAACUAUUUACACGGGAAAGCUCCCAACAAGCAAAAGAAGAAAGAAAAAUCUUUUUGGGUUUUCUCAAAAGGACACAAAACAAGAAAACAAAAAGAAACUAGCAUGGAUAAUACAGUGGCAAAGUGUGAACACCGGCUAACAAAGUGAAAGCAUAAGCAUGAAUGUAAAGUCGGUGAGAACACGUACUCCCCCAAGCUUAGGCUUUUGUCCUAGGUUGGUCUACUCCCAUGGAUGAUCCUGGCGAAACCAAAGUCAUAAUGGGUGUUAUACGGGAGUGCUACAGCCACUGCCUGAAUAGCUGCCUCACGAAGUCGAGCAGCAGUCGCCUCCCUCUCAUACUCCUCUGCCUCUCCUAUGGUUAUGUAGUAUCUUCGUUUUACCUGAAAGUCAAAGAAAGCAGGAGCAGGAAGGGUAAUAUGGAAAACACGAUGUCGGUUAAAUAUCAAGCGGUAUAGGAGGGAUCCAUGAUCUCUCUCAAGGAACUGGUAGCGUGUUAGAGUGACACGAUCAAGGUAGGCUGUACGGAGAGGAGGGUCUUCUGGACGGAUGGAUACUCCAAGAAAAUUUGCUAAGCGUGUAGCAUAAACUCCACCAAAGAAAUCACCCUCACUGGCAUUUUUAUUCAGCCUCCUUGCUAAAAUAGCUCCCAUAUUGAAGCUCCUGUCACCUAUUGCUGCACUCUUAAGGAUACUAAGGUCGGAAGCGCAUAGGUGACAAUGUGCACCCUUGCCGUUAAUGCACCUACCUAUGAAGAGGGCAAGGUAGUGCAAGGCAGGGAAAUGGAUGCUUCCUAUGGUGGCUUGCGUGAUAUCCCUGGUUUCUCCAACAGUUAUAUUGGAGACAAAGUCUCUGACCGAAGACUUAGGAGGAUCAUUAACACUACCCCAAUCGGGUAUCUUGCAAAUCCUAUUGAAAUCCUCCAGAUCCACGGUAUAGGAUUUAUCGUACAAAUCAAACAGUAUGGAUGAGUCACGACCGGCUAAAAAUUUAAAUCUACGCACGAAAGAGGCAGUGAGCAUAGCAUAAUGUUCACAUUUAUCUGAGAGGAAUUCUUCUAACCCGGCAUUGCGGACAAGUGCAUCAAACUCAUCCUUGAAGCCUGCUUCGAUCAUGAACUCAUCGGAAGGCCAUUCACAUGGUUGCACCGGUGCGUCCCUUAGUUGAAAAGGUUCGGGCUACCGAAAGGAGAGAUGAGGACCCUUCUUACUUGAGGAACCACCACGAAACUUCCUACUAAACAUAAUUUCCUUAUGCUGAAAUUUUUGAAGUUCAAGAGAAAAGUGAAUAAAUACCCACCACACCUUGUAGCAACUACUCCUACUAGUGCCUAGAGACCGUAUCACGCGCUAAAACUACUUGGGACCAACUAAAAUCAACAUUUCUAGCUCAAGAAUAGGGUCACCAAGGUAGCAAGAAUACGCGAAGGAUACGGCACUAGAGCAAAAACUAAUUGGACCAAUGGAGGAGUCACUUACCAAGGAGUAAUUUGCCCAAAACGGUUCGGAGAAUGGUGCUUUGAGCAAGGAGAUCAAAAGUCACAGCCAAAUGAGCAAGAACACGGGUUUGAGCUGCGAAACAAUUUUUUCUAGAGGUGGAAGAAGAGGCUGAGAGCUGGAAUGAGUGGAGGGGAUGCCUGUGGGCCCCACAAGCUUGCCCACCGCCACUAGGGGGGUGGUGGCGGAGCAGGGGCUUGUGGCCCACUCGUCUGUCCCCCAGGCAGCUCUCAGGCCCAGUAAUUUUCAAAAAAUUCCAGAAAAAAUCAUACUAAAUUUUCAGGACCAUCGGAGAACUUUUAUUUUCGAGGUAUUUUUCUCCGGGACGUUAAAACAGAAAACAGGAAAAGCUAAACUAAUUCCAUCAUUUUUAUUCUGAGCAACAGAAAAGGAAAGCUCAAAACAGAGGUAUGUGACUCUUUGAUUCAUCCGUUUCAUGGUCAUCAAAAGAAAUCCGUCAAUGGGGUUGAUCAAGUCCUUAUGACAAAACCUUCUCGGAUCACAAGAGAGAAUGGAGAAGUUUCAAAUAGCCACUAAGUCACCUCAAUGGGGAUAUGUAUCUCCCCAACAAGCAAAUCAUACUUCAUCUUGACACGAGGAAUAGGGCAUUCAAAGCUCCCAAUGAGAAUCGAUGAAGUCUUUUCGAUAGCAUUGAUGCAAUGUACUGGAUAUCGUUUCUUCGGAAAGUGCACUGUGUGCUCAUUACCGUUAACAUGGAAAGUGACAUUGCCUUUGUUGCAAUCUAUAACAGCCCCUGCAGUGUUUAAAAAGGGUCUUCCGAGGAUGAUAGCCAUGGCAUCGUCCUCGGGAAUAUCCAAGAUAACAAAGUCUGUUAAGAUAGUGGUGUUAGCAACCACAACACGCACAUCCUCGCAAAUGCCGAUAGGGAAAGCAGUUGAUUUGUCGGCCAUUUGCAGAGAAAUUUCAUUGUGUGUCAACUUAUCCAACUCAAGUCUACGAUAAAGAGAAAGUGGCAUAACACUAACACCGGCUCCAAGGUCACAUAAGGCAGUUCUUACGUAAUUUCCUUUAAUGGAGCAAGGUAUAGUGGGCACUCCGGGAUCACCAAGUUUCUUAGGAGUUCCACCUUUGAAAGUAUAAUUGGCAAGAAUGGUGGAGAUCUCAAGAUCUGGUAUCUUCCGUUUAUUAGUCACGAUAUCUUUCAUGUACUUGGCAUACGAAGACAUCUUGAGCAUAUCAGUUAACUGCAUCUGCAGAAAGACAAGUCUUAUCAUCUUAAUGAAGCGCUCAAAAUCCUCAUCAUCCUUUUUCUUGGAUGGCUUAGGAGGAAAGGGCAUAGGUCUCUCAACCCAUGGCUCUCUUUCUUUACCAUGCUUCCUAGCAGUGAAGUCAUUCUUGUCGUAUCUCUUAGGUUGUGGAUUAUCAGGAUCAACCGUAGGUUCAAUCUCCACAUCCUCAUCAUUGCUAGGUUGAGCAUUAUUAUGAACAUCACUGUCCAUAUUGUCACCAGGUUCAUGUUCAUCACCUGAUUGUGUUUUUGCAUCAGACGCAGAAAUAUCAUUAGGUUCUUUAGGUGUGAUAGUAUUUGGUGAACUGGCGUGCAGGUUUCUGUCAUCCUUCUUCUUCUCCUUAGGAUGACUAGGUGUAUCAGCAUUGAUUCCUUGAGAAUCUUGAUCAAUUCUCUUAGGAUGACAUUCAGGAUACAAAGGUUCCUGAGUCAUUUUGCCUCCUCUAGUAAUGACUCUGACAGAGUUGUCAUUUAAUUCAUUGAGCAGGUCAUUCUGAGCUUUAAGUACUUAUUCUACCUGAGUAGUAAUCAUAGAGGCAUGUUUACUCAGAAGCUUCAGAUCAUUGACAUUUCUGUCUACACAAUCACUUAAAUGGCUAAGCAUACGAGUACUUUGUUCCAAAUGUCUGCUAACAUAAUCAUUGAAACUCUGUUGUUUGGAAACAAAGUUGUCAAAUUCAUCAAAGCAUAGGCUAGCAGGUUUAUCAAAAGGAAUAUCACUCUCAUCAAACCUACGCAGAGAAUUCACUUCUACUACCUGAAUCGGGUUAUCGAGAUCAUGGAUCUCUUCGAUAGGUGCUAGAUUUUUGACAUCUUCAGAUCUAAUGCCUCUCUCUUGCAUAGAUUUCUUGGCUUCUUGCAUAUCUUCGGGACUGAGGAAUAGAAUACCUCUUUUCUUAGGAGUUGGCUUAGGAGGUGGUUCGGGAAUAGUCCAAGCAUUAUCGUUGAUCAAGAGGUUAUUCAGUAGGGUCUCAGCUUGUUCUAUAGUUCGUUCCCUAAAAACACAACCGGCACAACUAUCUAGGUGGUCUCUACAGGCAUCGGUAAGUCCGUUAUAGAGGAUAUCAAGUAUCUCGUUCUUCUUAAGAGGGUGAUCAGGCAAAGCAUUCUGUAGGUGGACGAGCCUCCCCCAAGCUUGUGGAAGACUCUCUUCUUGGAGUUGAGCAAAGUUGUAUAUUUCCUGCAAGGCAGCUUGCUUCUUAUGGGCAGGGAAAUAUUUCUCACAGAAGUAAUAGACCAUCUCCUGGGGACUACGCACACAUCCAGAAGCAAGAGAGGUGAACCAGACUUUAGCGUCAUCCUUUAGAGAGAAAGGAAACAGCUUAAGGAUAUAGUAGUGGCGGAUCUUCUCCUCAUUAGUGAAAAGGUUGGCUAUUUCGGAUAGUUUGGCAAGAUGGGCUAUGACCGUCUCAGACUCAUAACCGUGAAAAGGGUCAGAUUCGACCAGAGAGAUUAUCUCAGGGUCAACAGAGAAUUCAUAAUCCUUAUCGAUGACAAAGAUAGGCGAAGUGGCAAACUUCGGGUCAUUUUUCAUCCUAGCUUCCCGAGAUUUUUCCUUCCACUUGAGAAGUAAUUUCUCAGCGUCAUAGGCAUCCUUACACACAAGAAAAUCCUCAGCUAUCUCUCCCUCCAUAACGUAACCCUCGGGUAUAUCAGGCAAUUCAUAUCUAGGAGAGCUAGAUCUAACAGGAGCAAAAGCAGGUUCUAUCUCAAUAGUAUCGGCAGUAUCAGAAGCAUCACGAGCAUUGGGAGUAACUCUGGCAAUAUGAGCAUCAAGGAACACUCCUAGUGGAAAAUCAGGCAAAGGAGUAUCUCUAGCAGUAUCAAGCAUAGCAUCAUCACGCAAAAUAGCAUCUCUAGCAUCAUCAGGCAAAGCAGUCGCAAGCAUAGCAUCUCUAGCAGUAUCAGGCAUAGUAUCAAGCAUAGUAUCAUCAGGCAUAGUAUCAAGCAUAGCAUCUCUAGCAGUAUCAGGCAUAGUAUCAAGCAUAGCAUCUCUAGCAGUAGUAUCACAAGCAUCAUCAAGCACAUGCGACAUAUCAAGAUUUCUAGCAGGAGGUGAUGUCGCAAACUUACUCAUAACUGAAGGUGAAUCAAGUGCAGAGCUAGAUGGCAAUUCCUUACCUCCCCUCGUAGUUGAGGGAAAGACUUUGGUCUUCGGAUCCUUCUGAUUCUUCAUAGUGAUCAACAGAUAUAAAUCCCAAGUAACUCAAAGAAUAUAGCAAUACCUCCCCGGCAACGACGCCAGAAAAAUGCUGAUCUGCAAUCUCUCGCGUUAGCUAGACGAAUGCUUAUGACAACAAACCUUCUCCUGCAACGGCACCAGAAGAAUGCUGAAAGCACUCUCAGGCAAUGAAACUGGAAGAAUGUUGUUGAUGGCCCACCAGCGCGUGGGUUCGCAGCAGUUUUCGAGGGUAGAGUAUUCGACCCAAUUUGUUGAUAAGCCACUCAGGAGGUGAGAGUAUACUCUCAAGUAUUAGCAGCUAAAUUUGUCAGAUUCAACCACACCUGAAAGAUUAGUAUCUGCAAGCACAGUAGUAACAACAAAGUAAUAUGAUAACAACGGUGUCAGAAACGAUCUGUUGACGGCAGAGUAUUCCUAACGAUUGUAUCAAUGGCGCCUCCGUUGCCGCGUUGACGGAAGUUGUCAGUUCCCAUCAACGUCCAGCAAACCAACAGUGUAGCAGGUAGCAGCAGUGUAACGAGCAAUAGUAGUGGCAAGGAACAGCAGUAAUGACAGCAGUAGCAAGAAGAAACAGUAGCAAGCGACAGUAGUAGCAACAGUAGCAGCAGAGCAAGACAAGUAACAGUAGUAGCAACAGUAGUAGCAGCAGCAGCAGAGCAAGACAAGUAACAGCAGCAGUAGGACAAACUCGUAGGCAAAGGGUCGCUGAUUUGUUUGGAUGAUAUUCAUAAUGCAACAGCUAUAACACGGAGAGAUAUGUGGCUAGCUCCCGUUCGUCAAUGUGAUGUAGGCAUGCAUUCCGUGUGUCGUCAUAGUGCUUAGGGAAAAGAACUUGCAUGCCAUCUAUUGUCCAUCCCUCCCGUGGCAGCGGGGUCCAAAAGGAAACUACGGGAUAUUAAGGUUCUCCUUUUAAUAAAGAACCGGACCAACGCAUUAGCACUUGGUGAACACAUGAACUCCUCAAACUAUGGUCAUCUCCGGGAGUGGUUCCGGUUAUUGUCACUCCGGGGUUGCCGGAUCAUAACACAUAGUAGGUAACUACAACUUGCAAGAUCGGAUCUAAAACACACAUAUAUUGGUGACAACAUAAUAAUUUCAGAUCUGAAAUCAUGGCACUCGGGCCCUAGUGACAAGCAUUAAGCAUGGCAAAGUAGUAGCAACAUCAAUCUCAGAACAUAGUAGAUACUAGGGAUCAAUCCCCAUCAAAACUAACUCGAUUACAUGAUAGAUCUCAUCCUACUCAUCACCGCCUAGCGAACCUAUGAAUAGAUUACUCACGAACGAUGAAGAGCUUCAUGGAAUUGGAGAGAGAAGAAGGUUGAUGAUGACGAUGGCGAAGAUUGCCCCUCUCCGGAGCCCAAGACGGACUCCCGAUCUGCCCUCCAGAUGAAGAACAGGUGGUGGCGGCGCCUCCGUAUCGAAAACAUGACGAAAACUUCUCUUUUUAUUUUUUCUGGGACGAAAGGCAACUUAUAGAGCUGGAGUUGGGGCGGCAGGUGCCUGUGGGCCCCACAAGCCUGCCCACCGCCACCAGGGGGGUGGCGGAGCAGGGGCUUGUGGCCCACUGGCCCACCCCCUGAGGUGGAACUUGGCGCAGAUAUUUUUGAUAUUUUUCAAAACUGCUCCCCGUAAAUUUUCAGGACGUUUGGAGAACUUUGAUUUCUGCACAAAAAUAACACCAAGGCAAUUCUGCUAAAAACAGCGUCAGUCUAGGUUAGUUCCAUUCAAAUCAUGCAAAUUAGAGUCCAAAACAAGGGCAAAAGAGUUUGGAAAAGUAGAUACGAUGGAGACGUAUCA